AGGAGUUUAUAGUUACUGCCGUUUUUAUUUGAAGCGAUAAAGGUGACUUGGCUAGUCAACGAAUGGAUCUUGUGUACAGAAUUUUUAGAUGCUCGCUUGAUGUCGUCAAGGAGGUUACGCGAUUUGUGCCAAUGGUUUGACAAUUAAGGACAUUUUAGGAUCGUGCGAUGUUGAGAAGAAAUAAUAAUUGGGAACGUGGAUACUGACGUGCGACGCCUAUAUGGCCAAGGCAGUUUCUGCGGUAUCUAGUAUUCCACGAAUAUUUAAAUACACACUAUCGAUUUCUGAUGUACGCUAGCAAGCACAUAGGAGAGGCUAAUUUUAGAAGCAUCUAUUUUCGCACAUAUCCUUACCAUCAAUAAAUCAAUAAAGUUUGAUGAUGCAGUAUCGGUGAUAAUGCCAGGAAGGGAUCCUGUACCAUUUCUGCAAUUACUCUCGAUACCUCAAUCAUAUUAUCAUCAGAGACUGGUGGAUAUUUCUAUUGAUUGUUAAUGUGUCGUUACAAUAUAUGCUGCGUUGAAGAGGUUGAUAUUAAAUUUUAAAGUGGUGGUAUGUCGUCGUGGUUUUAAAGUGGUCGUAGAAAGGAAAAUUUUAAAUAUUUUAGUGGCCUGAAAAUAACAAAAAAAGGUAAUUAUGGCUUAUUCAUGAAAUAUUAUUUUAAUUUUCAUUGAUUUUCUUAGAUACCUACAGACUGAAAGCUAUAACAUAUCAGCGGUCAAAACUUCUACUAAAUAAUGUAAAAAAUGUCUUGUAUGACAUCUUCGAGAAAAUGGGGAAUGGUCACUAUUAUGUAGACCUAUGGGUCUGAAUCCAAGUGCCACCGCUCAACACUACAUCACACUGAAUAAAAAGGUGAAUAACAAAGAGUUUAUCAAUUUACCAACUUUUCAAUCCAUGGCUCACCUGCCAUUCUGUCCCAACUGCCCCACAUCCUGCACUAUGGAGUAUUGAACGAGGCCAACGACAGAGCGAUCAGCGUUGCCACAUACUGGUCGAACACCAUCUGAAUAACCAUUCAUUUCCCAAUUUUUCAAUCCAUGACUCAUCCUAGUAUCCUGUCCUAAAUACUGAACAAGGCCAACGACAGAGCGAUCAGCGAAAGCCAUAUAUAAAUAAAUAAAUAUAUAGGGACAAAUCACACAGUGUGAGCCCCAAAGUAAGUUCAAAGCUUGUGUUAUGGGAUACUAAAUCAACGAUACUGUAUUCUAUAACAUACAUAUACAUAUAUAGAUAAACAUCUAAGACCAAGGUCAAUCUGAAAAAGAUUAUUUUCCAUGUUGUGGUGACCGGGGAUCGAAUCCGGGACCUCCAGUGUAGCGGCGUGAUGACCAUUAAGCCACGGUCGAUCAAGGUCGAUUGAUAUUGGUCAACCACCGUCUGAAUAGCCAUUCAUUUCCCAAUUUUUCAAUCCAUGACUCGCCUGCUAUCCUGUCCCAACUGCUCCACAUCCUAUAGUGGAGUAGGAGCAUGCUAUUUUGAACAAGGCCAGCGAUAGAGCUAUCAGCGAAGCCAAAUACUGUUCGAACGCCGUUCGAUAGUCAUACCGACUCGAUAACAAGAAGAUGAUUAAUUACCCAACACUACCAAAGGACAGUAGGCUCGGCAUGAUUCGAACUAGCAAAAUAUUAAAUGCGUUCCGACAUACUAUCGCCGUUGUAAAAUUUAUGGGGGUUUAUCCCCAUAAUCUCGGUAUAAUCUGGUGUUUUGUGCUGCAGAAACUGUACUGUACGAGGUCUAGGAUCUGGGACCCUAAGUAAUAAAUACAUAGAAUAAGAUAUGCAAUUGAAAUGAUUUGAAGUGAUGGUGGUGUUAUCAGAGACUUAAGAACACCAUAAUAAAGGAAAGAAUUAUUCCUGUAACACUAAUUUGGGUGUUUCAAACCUGUUUUGCUUCGAACACUUAAAAAAAGUAACAGAUAUGUUUUUUCCUGUAUCCAAACUGUUAUAAAACUGUUUCUACAAAUUUCUGUGUGUGUAAACAGCGUCGCUGUAUGGGGAAAUUCCAUUGACGGCAUCGUCAAAGCGCGUGCUGUUGCCGUUCCGUCUUAUAACGAACCGGCAACUACACGUCGGCUGUUGCAUUGUUAUGCCAUUAUAAACCUUAAAGGCUGUAACAGUUAUAAACACUUUUGAACCUGUUUUUCAUAAAACAGAUUUAAAGUAUUACAGUUUAUUUCUGUUUUUCUUUUAACUUGAAUGGAAAAACAAAGCUCAAAACACUUUAUUUAGUUACCCCAAAAGUCCCUGGGUGUAAUGGUUAAGACGCCUGCUUGUGAACCGACAGAGGGGUUACACAGCGAACCAAUCACAUUGCGCCAUUGUGACUCAACGACAACCACGCUAUGAUUGGUUCGCUCACGUCUCACUUCGAAUCGAUUCGAUGGUGAGAAGUGAAAUGCUAACCCGCACUUCGCCCACAGGUCCCAGGUUCGAAUCCUACACGUGCUGCAUGAGUUUGUAUAACAAUCUGACUCAUGAUUAGUCAUUUUCAUUACUACUGCACGGAUUUUCAUCAAUUUUUCACCAAUAAGUGGUAUUCCUGAGGAAGGUUUAAGUGUGUAAUUGAUUAUGCUUGACCUGAGCGAAGUCGGGACGGGCGGCUAGUAAUAUAUGUAUUACUACGUCGACAGCAUCAAAAACGAAAACUCAGCUUUCCGCACUAGAUUCGCGUUUUGUUCUUAUUUCAAACUCCCUGCUCUUGUUUACAUUUUAGGGAUCCGUAGAAAUAAUAAAAAGUUUAACCCAACUAAUUAAUUGUAAUGGUAUAUUUUUAAUUUGUAUUUUAUGAAUCUAAUUGCCUGAAUUAAAUAAAUUUCAUAUAAUAAAAAUAUAAUAAAUGCGAAAUUAUGUUUAUUUAUU